rnacentral:rRNA from 1 species
GAUGAACGCUAGCGAUAGGCUUAACACAUGCAAGUCGAGGGGCAUCACGAAUUAGCAAUAGUUUGGUGGCGACCGGCGCACGGGUGCGUAACACGUAUACAACCUACCUUCAAUUGGGGAAUAACCUGGAGAAAUUCGGACUAAUACCCCAUAGCAAACGGAAGAGGCAUCUUUUUUGUUUUAAAGAUUUAUUGAUUGGAGAUGGGUAUGCGUAGGAUUAGCUAGUUGGUAAGGUAACGGCUUACCAAGGCGACGAUCCUUAGGGGUUCUGAGAGGAAGGUCCCCCACACUGGUACUGAGACACGGACCAGACUCCUACGGGAGGCAGCAGUGAGGAAUAUUGGUCAAUGGUCGAGAGACUGAACCAGCCAAGUCGCGUGAAGGAAGACGGCUCUAUGAGUUGUAAACUUCUUUUGUACAGGAGUAAAGUGAGACACGCGUGUUUUAUUGCAAGUACUGUACGAAUAAGCAUCGGCUAACUCCGUGCCAGCAGCCGCGGUAAUACGGAGGAUGCAAGCGUUAUCCGGAUUUAUUGGGUUUAAAGGGUGCGUAGGCGGUAUUACAAGUCAGGGGUGAAAUCUUGGUGCUUAACAUUAAAAUUGCCUUUGAAACUGUGGUACUUGAGUGUAAAAGAGGUAGGCGGAAUGUGUUGUGUAGCGGUGAAAUGCAUAGAUAUAACACAGAACCCCGAUUGCGAAGGCAGCUUACUAUCAUACAACUGACGCUGAUGCACGAAAGCGUGGGGAUCAAACAGGAUUAGAUACCCUGGUAGUCCACGCAGUAAACGAUGAUUACUAGCUGUUAGCGAUAUACUGUUAGUGGCUAAGCGAAAGCGAUAAGUAAACCACCUGGGGAGUACGUUCGCAAGAAUGAAACUCAAAGGAAUUGACGGGGGCCCGCACAAGCGGAGGAACAUGUGGUUUAAUUCGAUGAUACGCGAGGAACCUUACCCGGGCUUGAAAUGCUAUCG